AUGAGUCUCCUAGUGUGGAAUUGUUGCGGGGCUGGCAAACCCGCGACAGUUCGAGAGCUUCGUGAUAUGACAAAGCAACAUGCCCCCUCUAUCGUAUGUAUUCUAGAAACUCAAAUAGAGGGCUCCCGAGUGGAGAAUCUUGCGGGUAUUUUAGGCUUUGAUAAAAGCUUUGCUGUGAGUAGCAAUGGUAGAAGUGGGGGGCUAGGAAUUUUUUGGAAUAAUGAUUCAAUAAAGAUUGAAGUUAUUGGGUAUUCCGAGUACCACAUUGAUGUGAUUGCAGAUAAUUUUGUUGAUGUCAAAAGCAGAGUUACAUUUGUGUAUGGUGGAGCUCAAGUCCCAGAAAGGUACAAGACCUGGAAUAUGUUGCGGGGCAUCACCAAUGCCAGUAACCUCCCUUGGGCAGUAAUAGGAGACUUCAAUGAGGUUUUGCAGGCCAAUGAGCACGACGGAGUUGGUAACCGAAGCCAAGCAUAG
rnacentral:rRNA from 1 species